AUGUGACACGCCGGCCACGGUUAGCGCCGCGGCCGGCCAGAGGGAAUCCGGUGCGAAUCCGGAGCUGCCCCGCAGCGGUAUGGGAAACGAACGGGCCUUGGCACUGGGCGGUACGCCUGGGAAGCGGCCUUAGUAGGCGGAGCGAGGGGUGAGCGCAGAGGAGUGAGAAGCGAGUAAAGCCUUUGGCGUUUGCUCGCUUCUCACUCCUCUGCGCUCACUCCUCGCUCAAAGUCCCGAGCCCGAAGACCUGCCGCGACCGGAAGGUGCGC
rnacentral:ncRNA from 1 species